GAUGAACGCUGGCGGCGUGCUUAACACAUGCAAGUCGAACGAAGCAUUUGCGACAGAUUUUUUCGGAAUGAAGUUGCUUAUGACUGAGUGGCGGACGGGUGAGUAACGCGUGGGUAACCUGCCUUGUACUGGGGGAUAGCAGCUGGAAGCGGCUGGUAAUACCGCAUAAGCGCACAAUGUUGCAUGACAUGGUGUGAAAAACUCCGGUGGUAUAAGAUGGACCCGCGUCUGAUUAGCUAGUUGGUGAGAUAACAGCCCACCAAGGCGACGAUCAGUAGCCGACCUGAGAGGGUGACCGGCCACAUUGGGACUGAGACACGGCCCAGACUCCUACGGGAAGCAGCAGUGGGGAAUAUUGCACAAUGGAGGAAACUCUGAUGCAGCGACGCCGCGUGAGUGAAGAAGUAAUUCGUUAUGUAAAGCUCUAUCAGCAGGGAAGAUAGUGACGGUACCUGACGAAGAAGCUCCGGCUAAAUACGUG
rnacentral:rRNA from 1 species